rnacentral:rRNA from 1 species
AAACCUCUUUCAGCAGGGAAGAAGCGCAACCUGACGCUACCUGCAGAAGAAGCGCCGGCUAACUACGUGCCAGCAGCCGCGGUAAUACGUAGGGCGCAAGCGUUGUCCGGAAUUAUUGGGCGUAAAGAGCUCGUAGGCGGUUUGUCGCGUCUGCUGUGAAAACUCGAGGCUCAACCUCGGGCUUGCAGUGGGUACGGGCAGACUAGAGUGCGGUAGGGGAGACUGGAAUUCCUGGUGUAGCGGUGGAAUGCGCAGAUAUCAGGAGGAACACCGAUGGCGAAGGCAGGUCUCUGGGCCGCAACUGACGCUGAGGAGCGAAAGCAUGGGGAGCGAACAGGAUUAGAUACCCUGGUAGUC